rnacentral:snRNA from 1 species
CAAAGCAUUGCGAUGGUCCCUGCGGAUG